UACCCUCUGCGGUGUUUGUAUUGUUCUGUUAAUCCUGUGGACCUAUAAGUUAAUACCAAGGGAGCCAGACUGUAGAUGCCGUUGUGCAAGUCCACCUCGUAGUGGAAAGCCUGAAGCGUCUCUAAGGCACCCGAUUUAAUUCUGCCGGUUCAAGGCGGAAGGACAGUACGGCACAGGCGGAGGGUAC
rnacentral:other from 1 species